rnacentral:rRNA from 1 species
CAAAUGCGCAGUAUAAGGGCUUAUUUAGUAUUAUGGUAGUUGGUUAUGUUAAAAGCUAACCAAGCCUUAGAUGCUUAGCAGGCUUUAACGAGUGAUCUGCCACAACGGGCUUGAAAUAGUGCCUGAACAUUUAUGGCAGCAGUAAGAAUCUUGGGCAAUGCAUUCAAGUGUGACCCAGCAAGUCUCCGUGGAUGAUGAAGAUAUUAAAUUAUAUUGUAAAAUUCUAUCUUUUUAUAUUUAUAAUGAAAAUAUAAAAAGGAAAGCACAGGCUAAAUUCGUGCCAGCAGCCGCGGUAAUACGGAUUGUGCAAGUCUUUGACCUCGUGACUAGGUGUAAAAGGCCACAUAGGAGGUUAUAUAAGUUAUUGAGUAAAUACAGGGUAUAAACCUUGGAAUCUCAAUAAAACUUUAUAACUAGAAUAUAAAAGGGGGUUUAAGAUAUCUUCUAAGUAAAGGUGAAAUUUGUAGAAAUAGAAGGGAU